rnacentral:sRNA from 1 species
UGGUAGCUUGUGGCGUCUCUCUCCGACCUCAUCCUACGCAGCGAACACGGCCAUAUUCCAAAUCAAGGACUGGCGGGGCUAAAAUGGAUCUGAAACGAGGACCAUUCCCGAUCUGUCGGCUAGCACAGCCACUAAACUUAAAUGGAAGCUCUGGAAGGGUUCUGGAAGGGUAAUGGAAGGGUAAUGGAAGGGUUGACUGGAAGGAUGAUGGAAGGAUUAUGGAAGGGUCGUGGAAACACUAUGGACAGGGCGUGGCCAAUAAUAGCCAAUAAAAGACGUCUUCCCAAAGGCUAAAUUGCACGACCGGGGUUCCGACGACAGCAACUGGUUGGAACUUGACGCAAUUCCGUAGUGGAGGCUGCACGUUCGAAACGAAUUUGGCAGGAUUGGCCUUCGUAUUAUUCUUGAUGUGCGGAGAUAGGGUGCUGACUCCGUAUUUUCCAGGAAGGGGAGAGGUGGAAAC